UGGGAUUUUUACCAGCUGGAGGCAAACGUUCACAGGCUAGAGGGCGGAGCCAACAAUGACUUUCACCGGACUAAUGGAUGGAAGACAUAGUGAGAUGUUGCCAUCUUACUGUAUCUGCCAAAUGUGGGUCUACAGAUAAAGGAAACAGCAUCAAGGGCACAAGCGGGUCCAGCAGCUCCUUCUGGCACCUAGAGUAUUGUUUCAUAGGCGAUUCAUAGGCCUCAACCCAGAAAGAAAAACAAAAGCUGCAAACAGAAAAGUGACAUAAAAACCAACUUUUGUGUCUCCAUUCUCCUCCUUCAUGGACCAGUGGAACUUUUAAAAUGCAACCCUUUGAUGAUUUCUGGAGAAGUUCAGAACUGAGACCAACUCAGAACUCAUCCAUGUUGGUUUUGUUUGGCUGUUCACUAAGUCUUAAACUUGCCCAAAUGUUUAAGAUGUGCUGUUGGGCUUCCAAUAAAGUUUUUAAAAAUA